rnacentral:lncRNA from 1 species
GGGUGUUGGGUCGGCUGGGCCGAGCCCAACCCAUUUCUUCUUCUUUCUUUCUCUCUCCCUCCCGAUUUCCUCUCCGCACCCGAGCCUCCCGCUGCCCGGUUUUCCGGCUGCCCUCCCGCCGCCGUCCGACCUCCGUUCGCCGCUGGACCGGUCCCGUUCGGUCGGUCUCCCUCCCAGCAACAUUUCUAGACCGGUGAGAGGAGCCCUAGCGCCGCCGUGAGAGAGCGGUGCCGCCCGAAAGCAAGGGCUGCCCCGAGCUUCCCUUCGCCGGAACUUCCUCCUCCGGCCACCAAUCCGGGCAAGCUUGGUAUGGUUUUGUAGCCCUCCAACCCAGCAACCUUGCCCUAAAAGGACUCACUCCCUCUUGAGCUAGGUAAGGAGAAAUUUGAGGUGGAAGUUUUAUAGUGUUUUUGAUGUUUUUAGUCGAUUGCCCUAGUUAGGCUUGGAAUUGGUGUUUGUGCUAGUUAUGAAAGUUGUAGAGCUUGAUGAGAGGAAGAUGCUGUUAAAAUUUCAUAGGUUUUGGAGGUCGCCGGAAUUGACCUCCGGCCGCCGCUGCCGGCGGAGCCGCCGGCGGCGCCGCCGCCGCCGGUUGGGAGAUUUUAAUGUUGUUAAAUUUGGAAUAUUAAGGGGAGUUUAUUGAAGUGAGUUAUGGAAUUUUUGGAUGAGUUUUGGAUAGGUUUAUGAAUUUCCGAAGUGUGGUAUUUUUGGCGGGUAAUUAAUGUAGAAUCCGGCCGUUGGAUUUAAGUCGUAUUUUGGAGAGGUUGUAUUUACGACUGUGGAGUAUGAUAUUUAAGUUCGGAUCGUCCGAUGUAAGAAUAUCGAAGUUAGGCAAUAAUGAGCGUAAUUAUGGCUCUCGGGUAAUUUUGCCUAUUUUGAUUAAAUAUUGGAUAUUGGUUGGGAAAUUAAUAUUAUAUUUAGAACAGGACGUGAAGAGGCUCGAGCAGACGAGACCCCAGAUUGACAUCAGGCUUAGGCCUAAUUCGUGAGUGGACUUUUAUUUGAAAUAAUAUGCAUGCUAUGGU